rnacentral:rRNA from 1 species
AGCAGUCGCCGCGGGAAUACGAAGGGUGCAAGCGUUAAUCGGAAUUACUGGGCGUAAGGCGUGCGUAGGUGGUGGUUUAAGUCCGUUGUGAAAGCCCUGGGCCCAACCUGGGAAUUGCAGUGGAUACUGGAUCACUAGAGUGUGGUAGAGGAUAGUGGAAUUUCCGGUGUAGCAGUGAAAUGCGUAGAGAUCGGAAGGAACAUCUGUGGCGAAGGCGACUAUCUGGGCCAACACUGACACUGAGGCACGAAAGCGUGGGGAGCAAACAGGAUUAGAUACCCCGGUAGUCCCUGUCUCUUAUAA